rnacentral:rRNA from 1 species
GAACGUCAGUAGAGUGGCAAACGGGUGAGUAACGCGUGGGUAACCUACCCUCAAGUUGGGGAUAACCCGUCGAAAGACGGGCUAAUACCGGAUGUGGUCACCCGGACAGAAGUCUGGGGGACUAAAGGUGGCCUCUUCACAAUGCUAUCGCUUGAGGAUGGGCCCGCGUCCCAUUAGCUAGUUGGUAGGGUAACGGCCUACCAAGGCGACGAUGGGUAGCCGGCCUGAGAGGGUGGUCGGCCACACUGGGAUUGAGAUACGGCCCAGACUCCCACGGGAGGCAGCAGUCGAGAGGCUUUGGCAAUGGGGGAAACCCUGACCAAGCGACGCCGCGUGCGGGAUGAAGGCCUUCGGGUUGUAAACCGCUGUCACGUAGGCCGAAAUCCGGCGAACGAAAAGUAACCCGGACUGACGUAUCUACGAGAGGAAGCUCCGGCUAAUUCCGUGCCAGCAGCCGCGGUGAUACGGAGGGAGCAAGCGUUGUUCGGAAUUACUGGGCGUAAAGGGUGCGUAGGCGGUCAUAUAAGUCGUGUGUGGAAGGCACCGGCUCAACUGGUUGUAGUGCACACGAAACUGUGUGACUUGAGUGCGGGAGAGGAGAGCGGAAUUCCUGGUGUAGCGGUGGAAUGCGUAGAUAUCAGGAAGAACACCGGUGGCGAAGGCGGCUCUCUGGCCCGCAACUGACGCUGAAGCACGAAAGCUAGGGGAGCAAACAGGAUUAGAUACCCUGGUAGUCCUAGCUGUAAACGAUGGGCACUAGGUGUAGGCCUAGCACCUAACUUUGGAGAGGGAACGAGGGAUGGUGAGCAUCUGAGGUUGGACGUUCGAUGUUGGAUGUUCGAUGUUCGGAGUUUCCCUGUAGAGUUAGGUGCUGGGUCUGUGCCGCAGCUAACGCAGUAAGUG